AGGUAUAAACGGAGGUCGGAGCCAGCUCCAAAUGGGCGGGUCAGCUCCAAAUGGGUGGGACUUCAGCUCCAAGUGGGCUGUACAAACCUCCAGAGCCUUUUGAUUGGUUUAUUUAAUGUCACAGUGUUAAUGCACGCUGCGAAUCCCCCCCCCCACCAAAAAAAAAAAAAAAGAAAGAAAAAAAGACGACGUCAACUUCCCAAGGCUUUUCAGCGUCAAGAAAGAGGAAUUUGAAGGGAAAGUUCAAGUCUGGGUGGCCAGAAGUUACAUUUCAGUGACCUGGUUACCGCCUCUCUCUGCAAACCCAAAGGAUCACUUUCCUCAGUGGAUCUACCCCAAUCAUCAUUAACGGGACCACAGUGGAGAGAGUGAGCAUCUUCAAUACCUUCAAAUGCCCUGCAAAGAGUAGCUGAGCGCAUCUCCAGAACAUCUCCCCCUUCUCUGCAAGACAUCCACACCAGAAGAUGUAAAUCUAGGGCUGUUAAGAUCCUUAAAGACCCCACCCACCCUGGAAAUCCACUGUUUCAUCUGCUACAGUCAGACAGACGCUUCUGCAGUCUGAUGGCAAAAACAGAGGAGUUUCUUCCCUCAUGUUAUCAGACUACUAAACAUGGACAUUAAACACACUGAACUUUAUAGACUGGUUGUUUAGGGCUACCCAAUAACUCUCUGCACACUGCUUUUUUGACAACCUAACUAUGCAACUCAUCCUCACUGCACAUUGUCUAAAUCUCUGCACAUCAUCUGUGUAGCAGUUUCUAUGUAGCAUCUCUACAAAUCAUCUGUGUAGUAGUUUAAUACAGUAUAUUGUGUAUAUUUUAUACAGUAUAUUUUUUCCUGUUGUUUCAUUAUUUAAUUUUUUUUUGCACAGUCUAAAAAGAGUAUGCCAGACCUACAUUUCACUGCUUUUUGCAUGUCAUAUAACAAAUAAAAUUAGAAUUUUUAAUGGUGUGGAGUGUUACCUGUGAUUGAGUUGGUGAUAAAAAGGAGAUGGGGAAAAGAGUGUCUUAAAUUGGACUUUGGUACCAAUAAU